rnacentral:tRNA from 1 species
ACUUAAGUAGUUUAAGUAAAAUAAUGAUUUGUGGUGUCAUAGAUAUAUUUGUUAUCUUAAGUU